AUUUGCUGCUUUGAGGCAACAGACAAGAUUCCCACCCCACCUUACUUCAGACAGUGACUAUGGGACUCCAGUUCUGUUUUGUUAGUUUUUGGAACUGGGGCCAUGGUUAAGAGGGAUGGCUGGGAGGUGAAAUUCUUGGACCAGCACAAGACGAACCAGAGUGAAAGCAUUUGCCAAGAAUGUUUUCAUUAGUCAAGAACAAAAGUCGGAGGUUAGAAGACAAUCAGAUACCGCUGUAGUUUUGACCAUAAAUGGUGCUGACUAGUGGC